AUUGAACGCUGGCGGCAGGCCUAACACAUGCAAGUCGAACGAGUGGCGGACGGGUGAGUAAUGUCUGGGAACCUGCCUGAUGGAGGGGGAUAACUACUGGAACCGGUAGCUAAUACCGCAUACCAUCGGAUGUGCCCAGAUGGGAUGAGCAAGGAGGUGGGGUAAAGGCUCACCUAGGCGACGAGCCCUCUCUGGUCUGAGAGGAUGACCAGCCACACGGGAACGGGGACACGGUCCAGACUCCGACGGGAGGCAGCAGUGGGGAAUAUUGCACAAUGGGCGCAAGCCUGAUGCAGCCAUGCCGCGUGUAUGAAGAAGGCGUUCGGGUUGUAAAGUACUUUCAGCGGGGAGGCGUUACCCGCAGAAGAAGCACCGGCUAACUCCGUGCCAGCAGCCGCGGUAAUAC
rnacentral:rRNA from 1 species